GGAGAAGUACCCAAGUGGCCGAAGGGGCUCCCCUGCUAAGGGAGUAGGCCGGGAAACCGGCGCGAGGGUUCAAAUCCCUCCUUCUCCGCCA
rnacentral:tRNA from 1 species